GAUGAACGCUGGCGGUAUGCUUAACACAUGCAAGUCGAACGGACUCUUCGGAGUUAGUGGCGGACGGGGGAGUAACGCGGGAGAAUCUGGCUUUGGGUUCGGGACAACCACUGGAAACGGUGGCUAAUACCGGAUGUGCCGAGGGGAAAAAGAGAAAUUGCCUGAAGAUGAGCUCGCGUCUGAUUAGCUAGUUGGUGAGGUAAAGGCUCACCAAGGCAGCGAUCAGUAGCUGGUCUGAGAGGAUGACCAGCCACACUGGGACUGAGACACGGCCCAGACUCCUACGGGAGGCAGCAGUGGGGAAUUUUCCGCAAUGGGCGAAAGCCUGACGGAGCAAUACCGCGUGAGGGAAGAAGGCUCUUGGGUUGUAAACCUCUUUUCUUAGGGAAGAACAAAAUGACGGUACCUAAGGAAUCAGCAUCGGCUAACUCCGUG
rnacentral:rRNA from 1 species